rnacentral:lncRNA from 1 species
CCCGAUAUACAGCAGAGCCGGAUUGCUCCUCACAAUUGCAUUCCUAACAUAACAAAUGCUGUUCAGCUAGCUCUCUCAAGUCUUCAUACAGGCGGCUGGCAGAGGAUAACUGGUGCUGGAUCACGUCGCAUGGUGGUAUAUGUAUGUUUGCAGAUAGGAUUUCUCUCAAGAAUGUUGUUGACUCCUAAUGGCAUUGUGUUGUUGCAAAUGUUAUUUGUGAUUUUGGUUACAACUUGUAGAGAUCAAUCUCAGCUAAUUAAAAAAAAAUAUAUAUAUAUAUAACAAUUCAUUUGCCAAUCAUUCUCGAUUGCCCAACAUCCAUCUUCAAGCCGGCAUGAGGCAGCAACACGGUAAUAAAACCAGAAGAAAAAUCAUUAGCUUAUAUAACCAAGGAUGCGUGACAACCAUGCAUCAGCUCUUGCCGACCCCAUAAAAUAUAGAGAGAGAGGGCGGCAAUGUAGUCGGUUAAUUGGCCCUUGCUACAAUGCUUUACCAUAUGCCUAAUAGAGGCAUUUGAGAUCCUGUUAAUUAAGAGUUGGAAAAUGGCAAAGAGAGUUGCAAAUCCUUCCUCUCUUUCUCUUGCUCCUUGUACAAAAUUUCCUGCAUUGUAACUGAAAGCCCAUCAAGCUAUGGAAGUUGCAGUCAUUUCAGUGGAAAGCAUUAAACCUUCUUCGCCCGUUCAUCAUCUGAAACCUUUCAAGCUUUGCCUUUUAGAUCAGCUUACUCCCACAUCCUAUUCCCCACUCAUUCUCUUCUACCCCACCAUCCAUGCUCAUUUGAAGAGAACCCAGUUCUUAACUCAGCUCAAAUCCGCACUCUCAAAGACUCUAACUCCAUUCUACCCUCUCUCCGGAAGGGUGAAGGACAAUUAUUUCAUCCAUAACUACGAAGAGGGUGUUCCUUUCAUCGAAGCCCGAGUAAAGGGUCAUUUGUCUGAUUUCCUUCAACACCCUCCAAUGGAGUUGCUUAANNNNNNNNNNNNNNNNNNNNNNNNNNNNNNNNNNNNNNNNNNNNNNNNNNNNNNNNNNNNNNNNNNNNNNNNNNNNNNNNNNNNNNNNNNNNNNNNNNNNNNNNNNNNNNNNNNNNNNNNNNNNNNNNNNNNNNNNNNNNNNNNNNNNNNNNNNNNNNNNNNNNNNNNNNNNNNNNNNNNNNNNNCCUAUAUAUAUAUAUAUAUAUAUAUAUAUAUAUAUAGAUAUAUAUAAAUAAAUAAAUGUGUAAAGCAAAAAGAUGUUCUGAUGAUGAUGUAUAUAAGUGUGCUUUGAAAUAUAAGAGAAAAGGGUUUUCUUCCGAUAGCUGUGAAUCUAUUUUCUUUCAUGUCUAUGUUGUCUUCCUUUCUACUUCAUUAAUGUCAGUUUAUGUUUGAUCUAUUUAGCUCCAACAGUGGCAUCAUAGCCCUUCUUCCUACGGGUCCUAUAUUUUUUGUUUGAGUAAUUAAGUCUUCCUCUGUUUUCUUUUUAAUUUCGUUGGUCUCUAAAAAAUGUCAGCAAGCAUUUUCUCCAUUUCAGCUCCUAUUUUUACAGGAGAGAAUUAUGAUUUCUAGGCUGUCAAAAUGACAGCAUUCUUGAAGGCUCAUGAUCUAUGGGAGGUUGUUUCUACAGGUAGAGAACCUGCUCCAUUGCCCGCAGAUCCUACAUUGGCGCAAAUAAAGUAUCAUAAUGAUGAGUGUUCCAAAAAAUUUAAAGCCUUGACAUUCAUCCAUCAAUCUGUUUCAGAUGCAAUUUUUCUGUAACGACCCGGAAAUCGGACCGCUACCGGCGCUAGGAUCCAGAUCGACUUAAGGUCGCCGGGACCCGUAGCAAGCCUAACAUACAUCCUGUAUACCUGUUAAAUCUCAUACAUGAUCAUACAUAUACAUAAAACUGUAAACUUUGUCUUUCAUUUACCAAGCUUAACCUGUGCAUGCAUAAACUCAUAAACAUAAACCUCACACUGAGCCCUCAUCAAAUGCUCCAAUGGGGUAACAUACCAUACACUAAGCUUGGUUAAACAUAACACCAUAACAACAUUAACCCAUUACAUGGAUCAUGUAUAUAAAAAAAGAUUAACCAUACAUACUAGGGUCAAACACAACUCUAAACCUCAAUAAACAUCAUUACAUCACAUGACUGUUCAAUACUUUACAUUACAAAAUUCUCAUGUCCACAACUAACUAUUACAUACAUAAAACCUUCCUACUCUAGCAGACUUCCCGGACUGCCUCGUACCUGCAAACCUGGGGUUAAGGGAAUGGGGUGAGCUAAAAAGUCCAGUGAGCAGAACCAUAAAACAUUAUCAUAAAUCAUGCUUUCAUGGAAUGCAUCACAACACAUACAAUUCACAUCACAUUCUAUUCACUUCUCGGAUGGACUUGUCACCAAUAACCCUCUCAUCCAAUGUGCCCGGCCCUCGACGGAACUCCGCAGGACUUCUAUAAUCAUAACAUAAUGCCAAGACGCGUGGACAUGGGCAGCCCUGGACUUUCAUUAAUCAUCAUAUAUAAAUAAAUGCCAGGACGCAUGGACAUGGGCAGCCUUGGAAUUUCAUUAAACAUCAGACAUAUUGAGGGCAAUGGUUCAUCCAAAAUCCAUCCACAUCAACAACAAUUUAUGCAAUGCAUCAUAUUCGUGAAUUCUAAUGCAACACAACCUAAUAUAUACAUGGCAUUCGUGAUGCAUGAAACAUGUUAAAAACUUUUAUUAUUUUAAACAUAGUUCAGUUCUACUCACCUCUGGCUGACUCUGAUCUACUCUGUAGCAGCUGACUCACUGCUGGGGUCCUUGGUUCCUCGGGUCCGAACCUACACAGGUGGACUCAAAUGAGGGACCAAUAUAAACUAACAAAACUCUAAACAACUCUGCAAAAAUCCCCUUAAAACACCUCAAAACAUUCAUAGAAAUCAUGCAAAGGAAGGCUAAACAGGGCACUUUCGGCGGCAGGUUCGGCGGCCGAAAGUCCCUCCAGAGCUGAAACUCAGUCACUUUCGGCGGCACCUUCGGCGGUCGAAAGUCCCUUCUAGAGACGAAACUCAUGCAUGUUCGGUGGCACCUUCGGCGGCCGAAACUCCCUUCUAGAGCCAAAAGUCCAACUUUCGGGGGCAGGGUUCGGCAGCCAAAAGCUUGCCUCCACAGGCAGGUUCGGCGGCCGAAAGUGCCUUCGGCUGCCGAACCUGAGUUCUUCCAAAGUGGCAGAACUCAGCCAUUCAAGGCAUAAAUGCCUCCCAAACUUUCCAACUCAACCAAAACAUGCAUACUCACUUCCACAAGCACAUAGGGGUCUCAAACUAACUUAAACCCCAACAAAAACGCAUCUAACAGACAUAUACAACAUACAUUGUUCAUAAACUCAACAUUAACCUUAAAAACAAACAACUAACCUAAACAUGCAUUUCUACCCCAUAAACCUCAUAAAACUUGUUUAAAACAUACAAGAAGGGUAGGAUCUAAGCUUACCUCUUGAAGAUCGAGAGGAGAAACGAUCCUUAACUUAGAGGUAGGAGAAAUCUAGCUCCUUAGGUCUCCAAGCUCCACAACUUGAUCUAAGCUCCAAAGACUUCAAAGACCAAGUAAACACUUGUUAAAACUUGAAAGAUUUGAGGAAAAACAUCAAAACCAACCAUGGGAGGGUAUGGACUCACCUCUGGCCGGAAAUGGGAAAGAAAACUCGCCCAUUUUCGGCCAUGGGGCCUCUUAUAGGUGGCUGGCCAGGCCACCUUCGGAAGCCAAAGGUGACUCCAAAACUCAUGCAUGUUCGGCGGCCGAACCUGGAUUUCCCUCCAUAGUCAUUUUCAUUCAAAACUCAAUUUCUUUCUUACUUAAAACCAUAAAAUACAUUAAAACAUUUUAUAAAAACAUGAUUUUACCCUUAUAGAGGUUUUCGACAUCCGAGAUUCCACCGGACGAUAGGAAUUCCGAUACCGGAGUCUAGCCGGGUAUUACAUUCUCCCCUCUUAAGAACAUUUGUCCCCGAAUGUUCCUCAACUAACACAUGUAAAGCAUAUAACAUAACAUACACAUAGAAACACAAAACACUCACCUUAGAAGAGAUAAGGGUACUGCUGGAGCAUAGACUCCCGUGUCUCCCAGGUACAUUCCUCGAUGUUGUGGUGAUUCCAAAGGAGUUUCACCAUCGGAAUUUCCUUGUUCCUCAACUUUCUGAUCUGUGUGUCUAGGAUCCGUACUGGCUGCUCAACAUAGGUGAGAUCUCCUAGGAUCUCUACAUCAGGCUUGCUAAGAACCUUGUCUGGAUCUGACACGAAUUUUCGUAACAUGGAAACAUGGAAAAUCGGAUGGAUUCUUUCCAUUGAAGCAAGUAAGUUCAGCUUGUAUGAUACAUUCCCAAUCUUCUGCAAGAUCUCAAAAGGUCCGAUGUACCGUGGAGCUAGCUUACCUUUCUUCCCAAACCGAAUCACCCCUUUCAUAGGAGACACCUUGAGCAACACCAAAUCUCCCUCCUGAAACUCUAAAUGCCUCCUGCGGACAUCUGCAUAGCUCUUCUGCCGACUAACAGCAGUCUUGAUUCUUUCUCUUAUAAUGGGCACUACCCUGCUGGUGAUCUCUACUAACUCAGGCCUCACUAAGGACCUUUCCCCAACUUCUUCCCAACAGACAGGUGACCUGCACUUCAUCCCAUACAAAGCUUCAUAUGGAGCCAUCCCGAUGCUAGCAUGAUAGCUGUUAUUGUAGGCAAACUCCACCAAGGGUAGAUGCUGCCUCCAAGAACCGCCAAAAUCUAGCACACAUAUUCUGAGCAUAUCUUCUAUAGUCUGGAUGGUCCUCUCUGACUGUCCAUCGGUCUCAGGAUGGAAAGCAGUACUGAAGUCUAGCCUAGUGCCCAUAGCAUUCUGCAGACUCCGCCAAAACCUGGAGGUGAACUGGGGUCCUCUAUCAGACACUAUAGAAACAGGAGCCCCAUGCAACCUGACAACCUCUUCUACAUAGACCUGCGCCAAUUUGUCCACAGAAUAGCCACUCCUGACAGGGAUGAAGUGAGCAGAUUUUGUCAGUCUGUCCACAAUCACUCAUAUGGAGUCUAGUCUGUUGGACGUCGCCGGUAACCCCACCACGAAAUCCAUAGCUAUAUUCUCCCAUUUCCACUCUGGAAUCGGCAAUGGGUUAAGCAUUCCAGCCGGCUUCUGAUGUUCCAGCUUCACCCUCUGACAUACUUCGCAGGCGGACACAAACUGUGCCACUUCUCUUUUUAUAGCUGGCCACCAAUAGACUCUUUUUAGAUUCUAGUACAUUUUGGUGGCUCCAGGGUGAACACUGUAUCUGGCAUUAUGAGCUUCCCUCAUAAUGUCUUCCUUCAGACUCACGUCAUCUGGUACACACAAUCUAUUCCCAAAGCGGAGGAUCCAUUUGCUGUCAAAUCUGAACUCAUCAUUCUUGCCCGACUGAACAGUCCUCGUGCUGUUUCUGAGCCACCUGCUCCAGAAAUACGGGUGUCACUCUCAUCUGGGCUAUCAAAGCACAUGUACCAGACAACUCUAACUGUAGACCUUCAUCAAUGAGCUUGUAGAACUCUCUCACUACCGGUCUCCUCUCUACUGUAAUAUGAGAUAGACUGCCAAGUGACUUCCGGCUUAGGGCAUCUGCCACAAAAUUCGCCUUACCCGGAUGGUACUGAAUCUUGCAAUCAUAAUCACUAAGCAGUUCUACCCAUCUCCUCUGUCUCAAGUUUAACUCUCUCUGACUCAGGAUGUAUUGCAGACUUUUAUGAUCUGUGAAGAUCUCACAUUUAACCCCAUAAAGGUAAUGCCUCCACAUCUUGAGUGCAAAGAUUACAGCUGCCAUUUCUAGGUCAUGUGUAGGGUAAUUCAACUCAUGCUUCUUCAGUUGUCUACAAGCAUAAGCAAUCACCCUUUCAUUCUGCAUCAACACACAACCCAGUCCCACACGGGAUGCAUCACAGAACACUGUGAAGUCUUCAUUACUAGUGGGCAGAGCUAACACCGGUGCUGAUGUCAACCUUUUCUUCAGCUCCUCAAAGCUUUUCCUCACAUUGUUCAGACCACACAAACCUUUGGUUCUUCUUGGUCAAUCUGGUCAUAGGAGCGGCAAUUUUAGAAAAGUCUUGUACGAACCUCCUGUAGUAACCUGCCAAACCCAAGAAGCUCUUGAUCUCUGUUACUGUGGUGGGUCUAGGCUAGUUAGCUACAGCUUCUACCUUUUUGGGGUCCACUUCUAUUCCCUGUUCUGACACCACAUGCCCCAAGAAUGAGAUGCUCCUCAACCAGAAUUCACACUUGGAGAACUUGGCAUACAAGCCAUGUUCCCUCAGGGUCUGCAAAACUGUCCUCAGAUGAUGGGCAUGCUCCUCUGCAUUUCUGGAAUACACCAAGAUAUCAUCAAAGAAGACAAUAACAAAGUGAUCCAGGUACUGACUGAAAACUCUGUUCAUGAGAUCCAUGAAUACUGCAGGGGCAUUGGUUAGCCCGAACGGCAUUACUAGGAACUCAUAGUGCCCAUAUCUAGUCCUGAAUGCCGUCUUCGGCACAUCUUCUUCUCUUAUCCUCAGCUGAUGGUACCCGGAUCUCAGAUCUAUCUUGGAGAAACAACCUGCUCCUGCUAGUUGGUCGAAUAGAUCGUCGAUCCUAGGCAUCUUUCGGCGGCAGGUUCGGCGGCCGAAAGUCCCUUCCAGAGACAAAACUCAUGCAUGUUCGGCGGCACCUUCGGCGGCCGAAACUCCCCUCCAGAGCCGAAAGUCCAACUUUCGGGGGCAGGGUUCGGCAGCCAAAAGCUUGCCUCCACAGGCAGGUUCGGCGGCCGAAAGUGCCUUUGGCUGCCGAACCUGAGUUCUUCCAAAGUGGCAGAACUCAGCCAUUCAAGGCAUAAAUGCCUCCCAAACUUUCCAACUCAACCAAAACAUGCAUACUCACUUCCACAAGCACAUAGGGGUCUAACACUAACUUAAACCCCAACAAAAACGCAUCUAACAGACAUAUACAACAUACAUUGUUCAUAAACUCAACAUUAACCUUAAAAACAAACAAUUAACCUAAACAUGCAUUUUUACCCCAUAAACCUCAUAAAACUUGUUUUAAACAUACAAGAAGGGUAGGAUCUAAGCUUAGCUCUUGAAGAUCGAGAGGAGAAACGAUCCUUAACUUGGAGGUAGGAGAAAUCUAGCUCCUUGGGUCUCCAAGCUCCACAACUUGAUCUAAGCUCCAAAGACUUCAAAGACCAAGUAAACACUUGUUAAAACUUGAAAGAUUUGAGGAAAAACAUCAAAACCAACCAUGGGAGGGCAUGGACUCACCUCUGGCUGGAAAUGGGGAAGAAAACUCGCCCAUUUUCGGCCAUGGGGCCUCUUAUAGGUGGCUGGUCAGGCCACCUUCGGAAGCCAAAGGUGACUCCAAAACUCAUGCAUGUUCGGCGGCCGAACCUGGAUUUCCCUCCAUGGUCAUUUUCAUUCAAAACUCAAUUUCUUUCUUACUUAAAACCAUAAAAUACAUUAAAACAUUUUAUAAAAACAUGAUUUUACCCUUAUAGAGGUUUCCGACAUCCGAGAUUCCAUCGGACGGUAGGAAUUCCAAUACCGGAGUCUAGCCGGGGAUUACAUUUUCCAAGAAUCUUGGGAGCUCAAACAGCCAAGGAGGCAUGGGAUAAGCUAAGAGAUGAAUUCCAAUGAAGUGAAAGAGUUAGAUCAGUCAAGCUUCUAACUCUAAAGAGAGAAUUUGAGAUGUUGAGGAUGAAGGAAGAAGAAACCAUAAAGCAGUAUUCCUCAAAGCUAAUAGAGUUGGUGAAUCAAAUGAGACUUUAUGGUGCUCAAUUUCCUACUAGCCAGGUUGUUGAGAAGAUUCUGAUUAGUCUUCCGGAGAAAUUUGAGUAAAAAAUUUUUGCAAUUGAGGAAUCAUGUGAUCUUAAGACUCUCACGGUUACUAAUUUCAAGUGAAGCAAAAGGGGAAACCAACUCCAAGCAAAAAUGGGAAGAAAUUCUCCCAUGAAAAGCAGGGGAAGAGCAAAUCAGUUGAGAAUUCAAGAAAAGAUGCAAGAAAAGGCAAGUUCCCUCCAUGUAGCAUCUGCAAAAGGACAAAUCACUUGGAAAAAGAUUGUUGACAUAAAGGUAAACCGGUGUUACAAUGUUGGUAUUGUAAAAAGCAUGGCCAUAUUGAAAAAUUCUGCAAAGCAAAGCAAAACAAGGAGCAGCAGGAGAAGUAGCAAUCAACCCAUCACGCUAACUCUAUUGAAAAUCAACAACAAGAAGCUGAAGAGCAUUUGUUUAUAGCCUCUCAUCACUCUUCUUCCUUUUUAAACAGCUCUUGCACAUGGUUUAUUGACAGUGGUUGCACUGUACACAUGGCCAAAGAUGUUGAUUUGUUCUCUUCUCUAGAUUCAUCUAUCAAAACAAAAGUUAAGUUGGCAAAUGGCCAACUAGUGCAAGCUGAAUGCACUCCAGGUCAGGUACAAAGUUUAUUUCUGAAGUGUUGCUUGUUCCUGGCUGGAAUCAGAACUUAUUAAUCGUUGCCCAAUUAUUGAGAAAAAAUUAUUCUAUCUUUUUUAAAGAUGAAUCUUGCAUUAUCUAUGAUUCUACUGGUGCUGAGAUUACUAAAGUCACCAUGAUUGAUAAUUGCUUUCCCUUUGAUAUAACAAAUUAAUGCAUCUCAUCAUGUAUAUAAUGCUGCUGAUGUUGAUGUGAAGUUAUGGCAUAAGAGAUUUGGCCACUUUAAUUUAAGUGCUUUAAAAUCUCUCUCUUCAAUUGAUUUAGUCAAAGACAUGCCUGAGAUCCAUCUAAAUGAUGAUGUGUGCCAAGCUUGCCAACUUGGAAAGAUGCAUAGACAAUCUUUUCCUGUAAAUCAAGUUGUUAGAGCUGGAAAAAAGCUGGAGCUUGUCCACACUAAUGUUUGUGGCCCUAUGUCAGUUCCCUCAAUGAGUGGGAACAAGUAUUUUAUUCUAUUUAUUGAUGAUUUUUCAAAAAUGACAUGGGUCUAGUUUCUAAGUGCCAAAUCUCAAGCAUUCUCUGUAUUCAAGAAAUUUAAAGUUCUAAUAGAAAACCAAUGUGGCAUGAAAAUUAAGACCUUGAGGUCAGAUAAUGGCAUGGAGUAUAACUCUUCGGAGUUUGAGAAGUUCUAUGAAUCAGCUUGUAUUCAACAUCAAUUGACUGUGAGCUCUACACCUCAACAAAAUGGUGCUUCUGAGAGGAGAAACAGAACUAUUGUUGAAAUGGCAAGGUGUAUGUUGGUUGAGAAGAACUUACCAAAGCACUUAUGGGCAGAAACAGUAUUUACAGCUGUUUAUCUCUUAAACAGGCUUCCCACUAAGUCUGUUAAAGGAAUGACUCCAUAUGAAGCUUGGUUUGGUUGGAAAUCAUCUGUUAAACACCUCAAAGUAUUUGGCUCUCCUUGUUAUGUUCAUGUUCCUGAUGUAAAGAGAUCUAAGCUGGAUGAUAAAGCUAUGGUGGGAAUUUUCCUUGGAUAUGCUGCAAAUUCCAAGGGUUAUAGAAUUCUUGAACUAAAAUCUAAUAAGAUAAUGGUUGCAAGGGAUAUGGUGGUGAAUGAGCAAGCUUUUUGGAAUUGGAAGAAGGAAGAGGUUGAGAUGCCUUCAAAUGAUUCUAUUGUAAGAAGACAGCAAGAAGAUGCAAUUUCAGAAUUGCAUGCUUCCUAUGAUGAUGGAAGUGAUUCUGAACUUGGUUCUCCUAAUGUAAAAACCAAGUCAAUUGCUGAAAUUUAUGAAAAAUGUAAUAUGGUGAAUAUGGAGCCAUCUAAUUAUCAAGAGGCAAGCAAGUUUCCUAAAUGGCAGCAAGCUAUGGAAGAUGAAAUGGCUAUGAUUGACAAAAACAAAACGUGGGAACUCAUUGCCGAACCAAAAGAAAAGCAUGUAAUUGGAGUAAAGUGGGUAUUUAGAACAAAACUGAAUCCAAAUGGCACCAUGUUCAAACACAAAGCAAGACUUGUUGUGAAGGGCUAUGCUCAGCUGCCAGGAAUUGAUUUUGGGGAUACUUUUGCUCCAGUAGCAAGACAUGACACCAUCAGACUAUUACUUGCAUUUACAAUUCAAAAAGGAUGGAGGGUAGAUUCCAUCUUGAUGUCAAAUCGGCUUUUUUAAAUGGAUUGCUUCAGGAGGAGAUUUAUGUUCACCAACCUGAAGGAUUUAUUAUUGUUGGACAUGAAGACAAAGUCUAUAAGCUAAAGAAGGCUUUAUACGGAUUAAAACAGGCUCUAAGGGUAUAGUAUUCUAGAAUUGAUGAUUAUUUGAUCCAUCAUGAUUUUAGGAGGAGCUUGAAUGAAGCUACUCUCUUUAUAAGAACAUGUCAAGAUAGAAAUAUCUUAAUUAUUUCUCUAUAUGUUGAUGAUAUGCUUGUUACCGAAAGCUCUUCAGAAUUGAUAAAAGAUUUUAAGCUCCAAAUGCAAAUGGAGUUUGAGAUGUCUGAUCUAGGCUUAAUGAUCUAUUUUUUGGGUAUGAAGAUUGAGCAAUCACAUUCUAGAAUUUUCAUUUCACAAAGAAAAUAUAUAUUUGAUGUCCUUAAAAGGUUCAAUCUGAAUCAAUGCAAAGCUGUGGCAACUCCUCUUGAUCCAAAUAUGAAGCUUAGUAAAGAGGAUGAUGAUUCCAUAAUAGACACUAUAAGUUAUAGAAGUCUAGUUGGGAGUUUGUUAUUCUUAACUUCAACAAGACCUGAUAUUAUGUUCACAGCAAGUUUCUUAGCUAGGUUCAUGAACUCUCCAAGUAAUUCUCAUUUUAUGGCUGCUAAGAGAGUUCUGAAAUAUUUGAAAGGCACCUCUGAUUAUGGUGUGUUGUAUUCGAAGAAUGAAAAUGCAAAACUUGAAGGAUAUGUUGACAGUGAUUGGGCUAGUAGUGCUGAAUAUAUGAAGAGCACUUUAGGUUAUCUAUUUUCUCUUGGAUCAGGUUAAUUUUCUUGGAUUUCUAAUAAAUAAGAAGUUGUUGCUCAGUCUACCGCGGAGGCAAAGUAUAUAGCAGCUGCUGCAACCUCAAAUCAAGCUAUUUGGCUUCGUAGGUUACUUGCUAAUUUUGGAAAUGAUCAACCUGAAGCAACUUUACUGUGGUGUGAAAACAAGUCAGCUAUUGCCAUUGCUAACAAUCCAGUGCAACAUGGUAGGACCAAACACAUCUUAGUCAAGUGUCAUGCAAUCAGAGAAGCUGAAAGAAAUCAAGAAGUGAAGCUAGUGCAUUGCAAAUCUGAGAUGCAGGUUGCUGAUAUCCUCACCAAGGCACUUUCAAAAAACAGGUUUGAAUGUUUGAGAAGCAAGUUGGUAGUUUCUAAAAAAACUCUCAAGGAGGAGUGUUAGAAUUGAGAGUUUUAUCAAUGAAGGUUCCAGAAUAUUUAGUAAAUUAAUUAAGUAUAAUUGUAGUUAAUUCUAGAGAACUUUAGUGGUAUCUUAUCAAGCCACUCUUUUGUUGACAAAUGUAAAAACUAUAAUUUUGCCACCUAAAAUUUUUUGGAACCCUUGUAAUAUCUCUGUAAAUAUAUAUAUAUAUAUAUAAAUGUGUAAAGCAAAAAGAUGUUCUGAUGAUGAUGUAUGUAAGUGUGUUUUGAAAUAUAAGAGAAAAGAGUUUUCUUCCGGUAGCUGUGAGUCUAUUUUCUUUCAUGUCUAUAUUGUCUUCCUUUCUACUUCAUUAAUGUCAGUUUAUGUUUGAUCUAUUUAGCUCCAACAAUUUUAAAUGGCUUUGUCUUUUCUUUACAUUUUCUCCAUGAUUUGGUUUCAUUACAUGAAAUAGAAAAACUUUUGCGAUCUUAUAAUGCAUUUGCCACUAUCAGAUACAAUCGUUCGUUGUAUAUACAAUGAUCAUUAUUAAUUACUAGAUAAGUAAAUAAUUAAAAGAAAAAAUAAUUUUAUAUUAGGCAAAAUUAAAGAGCUUAAAUGAAUAAAAUUUCUAAAAUAAUGAAUAGAUUAAUUUAGUUUGUAAUUUAAAAUUUAAACACAAUCAUAUUAAAUGAAUAAUUGAGAUGAUUGAAAUACAAAUGAAAAUUAAAAAUCAUGCUGCCUAAUGUGAUAGAGCAUAAAUUAGUCUAAUUUAUAUUAAUAUUAUUGAUGAAUAUUUACAUGAUUUCUGCUUAAUUUAGUGCUUUUAAUAUUAUUUUGCAGAAAAUUGUGUAAAAUUUGGAGAAAAUCCCCUAAAACUGUAUUAUUUGGAGCAAAAAAGAGUAAGUCUGCUAAGUGGGAUUCAAGUCGGGCUAAAAUGCAGAAAAUAUUCAAUCCACUUCACUUUAGACGGCCCAUUCCCGCACAUGGACCAGACCAAGCUCACGGGACCGCCCACCAGACCAAGCACGUGGACCGGCCCGCACUCCACAAAUUCACACACAUGGGCCAGCUUCAAAACCUCUUCACAUGGACCUCUUCACAUGGACCAAUCUUCACCAACCUCCACGCAAUGGCCAGCCACUCACGCUGGCCCGCCACUUACGCUCACUCAAGGGGACCGCACUUCAAUUCCACUUCAUAUGGACAGCAUCUUCACUUGCACAUGGCCCACCAAGGCGUUUCCAUUCCGCCACACACAUGGACAGCCAUGACCAAGCACCUCACAUGUGGCCACCAAGGCGUUUCUCUUGCUCCUUGUACUCAAUUUCCUGCAUUGUAACUGAAAGCCCAUCAAGCUAUGGAAGUUGCAGUCAUUUCAGUGGAAAGCAUUAAACCUUCUUCGCCCGUUCAUCAUCUGAAACCUUUCAAGCUUUGCCUUUUAGAUCAGCUUACUCCCACAUCCUAUUCCCCACUCAUUCUCUUCUACCCCAUCCAUGCUCAUUUGAAGAGCACCCAGUUCUUAACUCAGCUCAAAUCCGCACUCUCAAAGACUCUAACUCCAUUCUACC